rnacentral:rRNA from 1 species
UACGAAGGGGGCUAGCGUUGCUCGGAAUCACUGGGCGUAAAGCGCACGUAGGCGGAUUGUUAAGUCAGGGGUGAAAUCCUGGAGCUCAACUCCAGAACUGCCUUUGAUACUGGCGAUCUUGAGUCCGGGAGAGGGUGAGUGGAACUGCGAGUGUAGAGGUGAAAUUCGUAGAUAUUCGCAAGAACACCAGUGGCGAAGGCCGGCUCACUGGCCCGGUACUGACGCUGAGGUGCGAAAAGCGUGGGGAGCAAACAGG